UACGUAGGGUGCGAGCGUUGUCCGGAAUUAUUGGGCGUAAAGAGCUUGUGAGGCGGUUUGUCGCGUCUGACCGUUGUUGAAAAUUUCGGGGGCAUCAACCCCGAAACUUGCAGUGGGGUACGGGCAGACGUAGAGUGUGGUAGGGGAGACGUGGAAAUUCCUGGUGUAGCGGUGAAAUGCGCAGAUAUCAAGGGAGGAACACCGGUGGCGAAGGCGGACUCUGGGCCGGAUAACUGACGUGGAGGGAAGCGGAAAGCCGUGGGGGAGCAAA
rnacentral:rRNA from 1 species